AACGAACGCUGGCGGCAUGCCUAACACAUGCAAGUCGAACGAGACCUUCGGGUCUAGUGGCGCACGGGUGCGUAACGCGUGGGAACCUGCCCUUAGGUUCGGAAUAACUCCCCGAAAGGGGUGCUAAUACCGGAUAAUGUCUUCGGACCAAAGAUUUAUCGCCUUUGGAUGGGCCCGCGUUGGAUUAGCUAGUUGGUAGGGUAAAAGCCUACCAAGGCGACGAUCCAUAGCUGGUCUGAGAGGAUGAUCAGCCACACUGGGACUGAGACACGGCCCAGACUCCUACGGGAAGCAGCAGUGGGGAAUAUUGGACAAUGGGCGAAAGACUGAUCCAGCAAUGCCGCGUGAGUGAUGAAGGCCUUAGGGUUGUAAAGCUCUUUUACCCGGGAUGAUAAUGACAGUACCGGGAGAAUAAGCGCCGGCUAACUCCGUG
rnacentral:rRNA from 1 species